rnacentral:lncRNA from 1 species
AGGAAGAGGAGGGUGAAGGCAAGGGCAAGGCCUCUGCUUGGUGAAGUCAGGCAGCCACAGGGCCAAUAAACUGUUUCCUCCUUGCCUAUACUUUUUCCUAAUUCUUCCACUUCGUCUUAAACUCCAAGAAAUGCCCUUCUAAGAACAUUUGUUUUAUGAUGAGCUAAAUGAAAAUAGGUUUAAUAUUCACUACAUAAAAUAAUAUAUAAAAAUCCAGAGCAAUUAGAGUAUGGAUUUUUUUUAUAAUGGUAUUCACAAUAAGAUACAUUUAAAUUUCAGAGUCCCCUAGUGUAUUUAAAGUGCUUUAAUUUACAUAGAUUAUCUCAGUGGUGUUUAUAACUGCAUAUAGAAUUCCAAUUUGUUAUUCAAUUUAAAUAGCAUCUUUUUUAUUUUCCUGCUAAAGAGGUAAAAACACUAUCUUUCUCCAUCCUUCUUUUUUUGAGAUGGAGUUUCGCUCUUGUUGCCCAGGCUGGAGUGCAAUGGCGCCAUCUUGGCUCACUGCAACCUCGCCUCCUGGGUUCAAGCGAUUCUCCUGUCUCAGCCUUCCACGUAGCUGGGAUUACAGGCGCAUGCCAGCACGCUCAGCUAAUUUUUGUAUUUUUAGUAGAGAUGGAGUUUCAUCAUAUUGGUCAGGCUGAGGGAGGAUAAUCGCUUGAACCUGGGAGGCAGAGUUGCGGCG